rnacentral:rRNA from 1 species
CACGCUUAGCGCGUGGGGAGACAGUGUCAGGUGGGCAGUUUGACUGGGGCGGUCGCCUCCUAAAGAGUAACGGAGGCGCCCAAAGGUUCCCUCAGAAUGGAUGGAAAUCAUUCGCAGAGUGUAAAGGCACAAGGGAGCUUGACUGCGAGACUGACAAGUCGAGCAGGGACGAAAGUCGGGCUUAGUGAUCCGGUGGUUCCGCAUGGAAGGGCCAUCGCUCAACGGAUAAAAGCUACCCCGGGGAUAACA